rnacentral:rRNA from 1 species
CGAACGGGUGAGUAACGCGUGAGGAACCUGCCUUUCAGUGGGGGACAACAGUUGGAAACGACUGCUAAUACCGCAUAACAUACACGGACCGCAUGAUCUGUGUAUCAAAGCUUUAUGUGCUGAAAGAUGGCCUCGCGUCUGAUUAGCUAGUUGGUGGGGUAACGGCCCACCAAGGCGACGAUCAGUAGCCGGUCUGAGAGGAUGAACGGCCACAUUGGUACUGAGACACGGACCAAACUCCUACGGGAGGCAGCAGUGAGGAAUAUUGGUCAAUGGGCGAGAGCCUGAACCAGCCAAGUAGCGUGAAGGAUGACUGCCCUACGGGUUGUAAACUUCUUUUGUUUGGGAAUAAAAGACGCUACGUGUAGCGUUGUGCAUGUACCUUACGAAUAAGCAUCGGCUAAUUCCGUG